CCGUGACCCUCUCUGGUUCUCUUUUCUUUUUCCCCGUCGUCCCUUUCCCGUGCUCUUGGUUCUCUUCUUCCCCUUCCACUCCUCUCACUAGGGAUAGAAAUUUCCAUGGAUUCUUGAAGAUUUGGUAACGAAUUCGAAUGGGAAAGGAGACCCAAUCCUCCUUGGGCCCUCAGGGCGUUUGAUUUGAUUUGAUUCAUGUCUUGUGUCUCUUGAUUUUUGUUGGAUUCGUUUAGUUCCUCGUCUUAUUUUUUGGUCUGUUCGCUCGCAGAUUUUUGGAGGGGAUUGUUCCCUGGCUGCGCGGCGCACGGGGCGUUCCUGCGCAGCCCAAGGCGGCGCCCGCGCAAGGGCCUGCUCUCGCCUCGACGGCGCAGAGAGACGUGGCAGGCCGGUGACAGCACCAGGGAGGAGCUGCAGCGCUCGGUCGAGCAGUGCCAGGCUCGCGUGCGCAAGGGCAGGCGGCUCAAGCUGCAGACCAAGCAGCAGCGGCGCACACACCUGCCAAGCGAGUGGGGCAUGCAGUAUGCAACCCACGGCAGCAGCUAGAGCGGCACAAGUGAAUUAGUGCAGGGUCUUUGUGAUUUUGAUUAGAGGGCACGUGCAUGUGGAUGCUUGGAUGUUGGUUGUUUUGCAGGUAUUUAGAAUUUGUGUGAGUGCGUGUGAAAUCCAAGGAUGGAACACCUGUGGUUUGCUGCAAGCCUCGUCAACAUCCAUCAAGUGUUUGUAGAUAUGCCGCUCAAGGAUUUCUUCUCCUAUUUACUUCCUGCUAAGUAGCUUGUGUUAAUUAGUUUAGUUCUUGCUAAUCUUUGUUAGUCACUUGUUGAGUUAGCUUUUGUGUAAAUUAGUUUCAGCUCUUUUAUCUGUUCUUCUUAGCAUGCUAAUUUAGCUAGUUUUAACUAGCUUUUGUUAGGGCUAGUUUAAAAAGAAAAGCAAAACAAAAUUUAGUUAAAUUGUGCUUGUGUUAGCUAGUUUUAAUUUCAGUUUUUCUAGUUCUUUCUUUUACUUGUGUACUAACUCUUGUUGCUAGAGUUCUUGAGAUGACUUCUUUUCAAUAGUAUUGUUCCUAGCUUCUUUCGUGCGCUUGUGCGUGUGUGCGUCAGUGUAAGCUUUUCACUGUCAGUGUAAGCUUUUCACUGCUUUGCUUCCGCGUGUGUGUUUCGGCUUCAGUGUGUGAGUAUUCCUAGCGCAGAUAGCCAUCCUGAGCUAUGCGGUACUGAUACUGUUUGAGGUGGUUCGGGUGCUUUAGGAACUUUUUUCCCUCCGGUUUUUCUAAAUCGGAUUUGAGGCUCCCAUCCAAGCCCCCCCUCUGGUCGCCUGUUCGGUCCUACAAAGUCAAUUGGGGUUGAUGAAAUUCAAGACUUGGAUGAUGCUCCUAUAAAAUUUGUGUACGGAAAAGACUUGCUACCGGGUUGGGCACUAACAGAUUGUCCUCUUUUAUGCAAAGGUUUAAUAAUUGGUACAAGAGGGCAUGAAGACUUGGACUCAGAACCAUAUGUGCUCUGCACCAUCUGGAUGUAUUCGGAACUAAGGGGCCUGAAAUCUUUGAUAUCACGUUCGAUUUUGAAGACAUCCAGCACAUGUUCUACCUCAAAAAACUUGGUAUUGAAAUGGUUCGACUCUGGUGCAUGAUGCAAACAUUUGAUUCUAUUGUUUUAAACAAGAAGAUCCGAUAUCUUGACCCCGCAGCGAUUUGCGAGGCCAAGCACACAUCGCCAAAAUGGAUGAAGGAUGAUGAUGACUACCUAAAGUCAUUUGAAACAAAAAGGCAAAACAAGAGGAACAAAAAAGAUUUCAUCAAGAGACCUUCACAAAUGUUGCGGCCUACAUAUGAUGAUAUGAUGGGAAGACAUGGAUGUCAUAUUUGCGUCAUACCACAUCUAAAAUCACUAGAUUGCGUUCCAUAUACAACCAAAGCUCUGAAUAAUUCUCGUAUUGGACUCGUUGGAUUGGUCAACCAUGAGAUACCAAGAAUUCUUAGAUAUUCUAUAAUUGGCUUAUAAGUACUACAUUCGUAAAGUUGGAGCUCGUUCCGCUGACAAACCAAAUGAAAUGACUCUGCGCACAAGGUUCCCGUGCCACAAGCAACCUGCAUGCUCUGUGUACUGGGUACUAUAUGUGCGAGCAUCUAAGGCUGCAAGGGAGAUAUACUACGGACCCCAAACGUGCAAGGGGCUACUCUCUUUGUUACUUAUAUAUUCAUAUGUCUACUCUAUUUUUUACUGUAACCAACACUUGCUUAAUUUUACAAUUAAUUCAUUAACUGCAGAUUCAAUCUGUGCACCACAAUGAGCAGCUCCACGAGAAACAACUUUUAAAUAUAGUUGCUGAUUUGUGCCGUUUCAUUUUGCAUGAAGUGGUCAACGUGAGGGGCAAUUUUUUUCACGAAGCACAAGAUUUGGCAACGGAUGAGAAAUACAUUGGGCUUCGUGAAUGGCACAACCAACGGCACCGUGCUGCCACUAGUAGCGGUCCUAGGAAGGAUUAGGGAACAAUAUUUAUUCAAUAUACACUUUAAUGAUGUAUUGUAAUGAUGUUUGCUUUUCAUUUAAUUUAAUUUUGUAUGUGUAACAA